rnacentral:rRNA from 1 species
UACGGGGGGGGCAAGCGUUGUUCGGAAUUACUGGGCGUAAAGGGCACGUAGGCGGUUAUGUAAGUCAGAUGUGAAAUUCCGGGGCUCAACCCCGGAGCUGCAUUUGAAACUGCAUGGCUAGAGUGUAGUUAGGGUAAACGGAAUUCCACGUGUAGCGGUGAAAUGCGUAGAUAUGUGGAAGAACACCGGUGGUGAAGACGGUUUACUGGGCUAUAACUGACGCUGAGGCGCGAAAGCAUGGGGAGCAAACAGG